rnacentral:rRNA from 1 species
UACGUAGGGGGCGAGCGUUGUCCGGAUUUAUUGGGCGUAAAGAGCGUGUAGGCGGCCAGGUAGGUCUGCUGUGAAAACUCGAGGCUCAACCUCGAGAUGUCGGCUGAAACCAUCUGGCUAGAGUCCGGAAGAGGAGAAUGGAAUUCCCGGUGUAGCGGUGAAAUGCGCAGAUAUCGGGAAGAACACCCGUGGCGAAGGCGGUUCUCUGGGACGGUACUGACGCUGAGACGCGAAAGCGUGGGGAGCGAACAGG